rnacentral:lncRNA from 1 species
CUUUAGGGAGGGGGUGGGAGAGAGGUCUGGGGUCAGGGAGUCUUCGAGGCCCCCGCUGAGGGGACUGCGAAUCUACCAUUGAACCGUGCACCGGGGACAUGGACGAAAUGAGACGCGACACGGACAAGAGCAUUUUGCUCUGCUUCCAGGAAACAUCAAGUGAGUCCGGUCCUCAGUUCUCACAGGGGAGCCUGAUGGGGCUGAAGCGGGUCCCGCAGGGAUGGAGGGGGCGCUCAGGGUGCUGGGUGGGCUCAGGCGGCAGGGCCUCCCAGCACCCAAUGAGAGCUCUGCGGGCGGGGGCGUCCAGAGAGCGCUGGGGCCCCCCCGCACGUGUCGUGCGCUAGAGAGCAGGUCCCCCGGGUCCCCCGCCCGCAGAGCCUUCUCGGGGCUCUCCGAGGCCCUCGGCUCCCCACAGGCCGCUCCCUUCGCGUCCCCCCUCCCUUUCCAACGCCUUCACUCCGCUGGUUUUUCUUCCUCCUCCUCGGCACUGAGCUGAGACGCGCUGAGCAGUUUGCUCUCCUUUUUCCACUUCAUGCGCCGGUUCUGGAACCAGAUCUUGAUCUGCCGCUCGGUCAGGCACAGGGCGUGCGCGAUCUCGAUGCGCCGCCGCCGCGUCAGGUAGCGAUUGUAGUGAAACUCUUUCUCCAGCUCCAGCGUCUGGUAGCGCGUGUAGGUCUGGCGGCCGCGUCGGCCGCUGGGCCCAAAGGAGGAACCUGUUACGCAGAGAGAAGAUGCUGAGGCCUGGGGUCAGCGGGGCCAGAACCCCCUCCCCCACUCGACCCUCAGACAUGGACUCUAGCCUGUCCCGGGAUGCCCUCCGCUCUCCGAGAGUUCCCUGCUCCCCCCCCCCGCCCCCCUCUUUCACUCCUCCAGCGCCCCCUCCAGAUUCCCUCCGGGUCUCCCAGGCCUGUGCCUCUGGUCUAGACUCCAGGUGGGGGAUGGGAGGAGGGCUUAAAAUCCCACCUGAGCCGAGGGGGAGGGGCUGGGGAAGCACUGGCCAGGUGUGUCUCUUCCUAGCCUCAUCUUUUCUUUCCAUCUAUCUGGCUCCCCCACCACCCUGUGAUAGAUUCCAGCCCUUAAUCCGUAAUGACGUGGAUCGAUCCAUAGUCGGCAUUAACGGCUCCUCACUUUCGUGUCCCGCUAAUGGACAUCAAUUUGGGACUUCAGGCCGACAAAUAAUCCAACCUGAGACCCAGGCGCCUGCUUCUCCCUCUCUCCCCCUCCGCCUGCCUGCGCCUGCUCCCUCUCCCUUUCUUCCCCUUAUUCGCCCUCCCUCCUCUGACUACCACCCCUUUCCUGGUGCCUCCUCCCUCCCCAGCCCCGGGCCCCCAGGGAAACACAGUCCGGGACAGACUCAACUCUCCCUCGCCAGCGUCACGCCGCCCCCCUUCCUAUGACGCACUCCGUUUUUAAUGGAACCGUCUUCGGGUGGGGGACCCGACCAGGGCUGGGGGCACGAGGGAAAGCCACGCCAGUGGCUGCGGCCCCUGCCCCCUCCCCUGCCCCGGAAUCCGGCUCUGGCGUGGCGCUCCGGGAGAGCCCACUCGCUCCCCCUGGCUCCCAGUGCAGCUGGGACUUUGCAAACUUUGUAACUCCUGAGGGCCAGAGGACAGAGCGGGAGACCCGGGGCAGGCGCCCAGUCCUCCCUUAGCUCCUAACUGAGAUGCCCACCCAGCACCCCGGGGGGGGGCGGGGGCGGGAAGGAGGUGGGGGCGCUACUUCUGUCCCCGGGGGUGGGGGCCCGCGGGGGUCGGGGCGGCCGCGGGAGGGCUCACUCACUGUUGCACGAAUUCAUCCGCUGCAUCCACGGGUAGACCGGAGUGGAGCACUUCUGCUCCUCCGCCUCGCCGAACACGCUCUUGUCCUGCGCACAGUCUGACUUCCGCGGCUCAGGGUGGAACCGGGGCGGCUCUUCGGCGCCCGAGAGCGCGCAGGCCGACUCCUUCUCGCGGUAGAAGGCCGGCGCCGGCCCGUAGUCGCAGGGCGCCGCUCGGCCGUAGCCGCCGCCAGCGGGCGGGUAAUAGGAGGAAGCGGCAAAGCCCUUGUCCUGGCCGGGCCCGGGCCCGUAGGGCGCGGGGUAGUGCCUCAGCGGGUCCGCAUAGCCCGACGAGUAGAGCGGUAGCUGGCCCAGGAAGGACUCCUGCCCGCUGGCCAGAGUGACGGGGAAGGUGGAGUUCACGAAAUAGGAACUCAUUGGGAGGGGAGGCGCGCUCGGCCGCUGCUGCUCCGCCGGGUUUAUGAUUUGUUGUGUUUUAUAGUCCGAGCGCCGCGCCUAUUAGUAGUAUAUCUGAGAUUGGGUUUUAGCUGAGGGGGGAUGGCGAGGUGCCAGUGAGGGCCAGAAGGAAAUACAACCAUCUGAUCCAACACUGACCAAUGGCAGAGGCAGGAAUUGUCAAAUAGCACCCAGGAGGAGCGCAGCCCGCGCGAGGGACCCGCGCACAAACCUAUCAACCUUUUUUUUUUCCCUCCUUCUUCUCCUUCUCCUCUCUCUCUCUCUCUCUCUCUCCCCGACAACACAACGCGUCCUGUUCCACCUACGUAGGAUCUGCGAAAGAGGCGUCUGUGCCUUGGAGGGAGGAGGGAGCAUUUGGAUUGAGACCACCCCAUCCCCCAGUGAUUAAAUAAAUAUAUCCCUCCCCUCCCCACGCAGGAUAGGAAAAAGUUAAUUGUGUUUUCAGAAAAGUUAACCCCUGCGUGGCUUGAGCCCCGUUCCCUCAAGGGAAGGGUGGGUAAAUGUCCCCCGAAUGAAUCUCCGCGUGGUGAGGAGAGAACUGAAGGAAAAGGUUUGUUUCUAGGGUUUUGUGUAGUUAGAGAAGGAGAAGAGUUCACUGUUUAGCAUCGCUUUCAGAAAGAGAGGCGAAGAAGAGGAAGCACUCUCCUUCCCAGGUGAAAACUGUUUUUCCUGCUUCUCAGGUCUACUCUGUCUCCUCCAAGCCUGGGUUUAUUAUUCUCGCUUCUACACAAUUCUUAUGGUCUGAAGGGCAGGCCAGAGCCCAGAGGACCCAGAAGUCUGGGAAAUAGGCGGGUCUGAGCCCAAGGUUCUCCCUCCGGCUCUGUGGCUAGGUUAAGCUAAGCGAGGCUAGGAGCUUCUUGGAAGGCUACGGCGGCUGCCCAAGACGUCCUGCCUGGUUCCAGCAUCUGCUGCUUGCUCUUGGAAUGGGAAGGGGCACUGGGGAAAGGGAAUAGCCUUCUCUUCACUUGUGGGAUAGGGAGAGGAAGAGGAAGGGACAUCCCCCAGCCUAGGUUCCCCUGAUCCCUACCCUGCCUGCAACACUCACUCCACCCCCACCCCCUACCCCCCAAAUCAUUAGAAUAUCCUGGGCUACAGAUUCUUAAGAAUCAAAGAUAUCUCAGUACGUCUGGGUACAGGGAAGAAAUUGUUCCCCCUCCAAUCUGGGUCCUCAAAACUGCCUAAUAUUUGAGGCAAUCAGAGACAGCCGGGAAGAGAGGGGACCUUGCUCCUUUUCCAGGUCUCUCCAGAAGCUGGCAGGUCUCUUUAAAAUGAAUUUUUUCCCAAGACUCGGUUUGGGCUUAGUUUUAUAAGGAGGGAGAGGUGUUCAGGUCCUCCUGGGGACUCAGCAGGCAGCUUACAACUAUCAGCCCGAAUCCCCUCUCCAGAGGCUCACCACCCUUCUGUCAGACUCUCAGUGUCUCUCCAGUCCCUCCCACAUCUCAUAUUUGUAUCACCAGCUUUGCUGCUGCACAGGCUUGAGUGUGAGAAAGAGUGCUCAUCUCUGUUCCUCUCUCUCUUUCUCUCCCUCUCUCUCUCUCUCUCUCAUCUAAGGAAAAUGAGCCUUGAAGCCAGGCUGGAAGACUGAAUCACAAUGUUUUCAACAUUCUAACUAUGCACAUGGAAGCCAGGCACUAAAGGUCGAUAAUGUUCAGACCUGAGUUCAGGAAUGAGUCAGGAUGUGUGACAAAAUCUGAUGAUGAAGGGGCCAGCUGACUGUCUGCUAUCUCAUACUUUGGGUUCCUUUUUGUGGGCCAGGUUUGCCCACUAAAGAUGACACAAGAUACUAGGGAAAGUGGUUGGGAUACUAGGGAAAGGGCUGAGCUUGGUGACCAAAAGUGGGAAAUUGGUUGGUUGCACAGUGGCCUACAAGGAUCCCGGAACUCGGGAAUGCUUCUAGGCUAUACCUUCAUGGCCACAUAGUGAUCCCUGGAUGUCCCACCAAUCACUUCCUAGCCCAACUUGGGGGGGGGGGAAGGGGGUUAUCAAAAUUUAAGAAAAUAAACUCAAGUCUUCUAAUGAUGAAGAAUCCUAAGUGCCCCAAUCUAGCUGUGAUUGGGCCAACUCCUAGAGAGGAAUAGGGAACAUUUGGGCUGGGGGAGCAAGGUCAGGAGGGUGCCUGUAUGCACCUCCCUCCUCCUUGCCACUGAGGCUAGGCCUUGGGCCAUAUCUGUCCUGCCUCCUCCCUGGUCACAGUGUCCCCUUCCUAGAAAUGCACAAUGUGGGCUUUGCUGUGGAGUCGAGACUAAGUAGGAUGCUGUAAGACAGGGAGACUUCCCUGAUACAGAAGCAUGAAAAUAAUCUCCUUAUCCUUAGAGCCACAGCCCCAAAUUAACCUCACCUCUGCAGGUUGCCUGUCACGAGAUGGAGCCCGAAGCAGGGCCUGGGCGCCUGGAGUCCAGCAUGAAAAGAAAUAGCGCCUCAUCGCUCUUAUCUAAGCCCAGAGGUAUUUAUGAGCGUUUAUUCGUCUGAUCCGUUUGUUUGGGAGAAAGAGCAGACAGGGCCCGGCCAGAGGCCGCCUGGUCUCUGGAGCCAGAUCUCUACGAAUCUGUCUGUGGUUCGGUCCACUGCCGUCUGUCUGUCUCCAAGGGGGAAUAUGUAAAUACCCAGCAGGCACAGCCGUCUGCCAGUCUGGGGUGUCUCUCCCAGCCUCAUUGAGGAAGUGUGUAUAUAGAGAGAUGGAUAUAAAUGUGUACCAAGUCUUGACUACGCAACAGAAGGAUUGUACAGAAACCCCACAGGCAGAAUUUAUAAUUGUAAUAUUCUAUGCUGUAGAUCCGAGCUCCUCUGGAUGUGCACGCAUUUUCAUUUCCCAGGGAAAUGUCCGAGUUGUGCUCAGCAACUGAGUAAAAUUCUCCUGCACCGGUAACCUCAGGGAGGGGUUUUUGCCUGUAUGUGUACGGAGGAGAGGAGGAUUGAGACACUGUCCAAGUUUCCCAUUUCCUCACAGCUACAAAGCUCCCCCCACCUCCGGCUGAUUGGGUUGUGGACAUCUUCCCCCAGCCCACUCCCAAUUCUGGCUGGGAUGGAGCGAAUGAAAAUAACUUGACUCGAUUCUUCCCCUAGACUCUGUGAUUCUCUGAAUUUGGGAAACAUAAAUGUUCCCAGAGGGAGUUCCCAACCUAGGGGAGCUGUUUACUAGGGAUAUUGCCUUAAAAUUAGCCCGCCCAAAGCGCCGGUACAAAGACCUCAUUUCCAUUAUGCAAAUGAACGGCACCGUCUCUGAUCUUGGGGGGUGGGAUGGGCGGUGACGCUCAGCUCACUCUCCCUGUUCCAGGCACCCAGGUCCAUGGGCACCCCAGGAGCCCCAAAGUGUUUCAACCCCCUGUACCAGCCACCUUCCCUCCCUACCUGUCCUUCGGAUUGCUCACAAGAAAGAGGGGCCCGAGACUUUCCGGGCAGGCUCCCUCGGGGCCUCCGCACUGGGCCGGGCCUUCUGGCCUCGGAAAGUCACUCUUUCUGCCCAAAUGCUGAAAGGGCAGCUCUCCUGUGGUCCAGACUCUGGAGGCGCCACAGCCGCUGGGUUUGCCCCCCAGCACCGCCGGCCCCCCUCCACCUCGGCAGUUCUGGCCCAGACCCUAGUAACACCUCGGCCUGCCUGGCACCGCAGGCAAUUUCCUGGAGCCCCCGCCCAGGAACUGGGGCCACAGCACCUUGAAAGGAGCGGCCAGAGCUUCCUCCUGCGGCUUGAAAGCCCGAGCUAAUCAGUAACCCGUGAGA